rnacentral:rRNA from 1 species
GACGAACGCUGGCGGCGUGCUUAACACAUGCAAGUCGAACGAUGAAGAAGAGCUUGCUCUUCGGAUUAGUGGCGAACGGGUGAGUAACACGUGACUAACCUGCCCCUUUCUCUGGGAUAACGCUCCGAAAGGAGUGCUAAUACCGGAUACUCACAUCGAGGCACAUGCCUUGAUGUGGAAAGUUUUUCGGAAAGGGAUGGAGUCGCGGCCUAUCAGCUUGUUGGUGAGGUAACGGCUCACCAAGGCGACGACGGGUAGCCGGCGUGAGAGGGGGACCGGCCACACUGGGACUGAGACACGGGCCAGACGCCUACGGGAGGCAGCAGUGAGGAAUAUUGCACAGUGGGCGAAAGCCUGAUGCAGCGACGCCGCGUGAGGGAUGAAGGUCUUCGGAUUGUAAACCUCUUUCAGUAGGGACGAAGCGAAAGUGACGGUACCUAAAGAAGAAGCACCGGCUAACUACGUGCCAGCCGCCGCGGUAA